UACGUAGGUGGCAAGCGUUGUCCGGAUUUACUGGGCGUAAAGCGUAUGCAGGCGGACUUUUAAGUAGGAAGUGAAAGGUUGGAGCUCAACUCUAACACUGCUCCCUAUACUGGAAGUCUUGAGUGCCGGAGAGGAAGACGGAACUGCACGUGUAGCGGUGAAAUGCGUUGAGAUGUGCAGGAACACCAAUGGCGAAAGCAGUCUUCUGGACGGAUACUGACGCUGAGAUACGAAAGCCAAGGGAGCGAACAGG
rnacentral:rRNA from 2 species